rnacentral:rRNA from 1 species
UACGAAGGGGGCUAGCGUUGCUCGGAAUCACUGGGCGUAAAGGGUGCGUAGGCGGGUCUUUAAGUCAGGGGUGAAAUCCUGGAGCUCAACUCCAGAACUGCCUUUGAUACUGGCGAUCUUGAGACCGGGAGAGGUGAGUGGAACUGCUAGUGUAGAGGUGAAAUUCGUAGAUAUUCGCAAGAACACCAGUGGCGAAGGCGGCUCACUGGCCCGAUACUGACGCUGAGGCACGAAAGCGUGGGGAGCAAACAGG